rnacentral:rRNA from 1 species
AUUGAACGCUGGCGGCAUGCCUUACACAUGCAAGUCGAACGGUAACAGGUCUUCGGAUGCUGACGAGUGGCGAACGGGUGAGUAAUACAUCGGAACGUGCCUAGCAGUGGGGGAUAACUACUCGAAAGAGUGGCUAAUACCGCAUGAGAUCUAAGGAUGAAAGCAGGGGAUCGCAAGACCUUGCGCUACUAGAGCGGCCGAUGGCAGAUUAGGUAGUUGGUGGGAUAAAAGCUUACCAAGCCGCCGAUCUGUAGCUGGUCUGAGAGGACGAUCAGCCACACUGGGACUGAGACACGGCCCAGACUCCUACGGGAGGCAGCAGUGGGGAAUUUUGGACAAUGGGCGAAAGCCUGAUCCAGCAAUGCCGCGUGCAGGAUGAAGGCCUUCGGGUUGUAAACUGCUUUUGUACGGAACGAAAAGCCCCGGGUUAAUACCCUGGGGUCAUGACGGUACCGUAAGAAUAAGCACCGGCUAACUACGUGCCAGCCGCCGCAGUAA